UGGAGUCAGAGCAGAUUGGUUAUUUGCCCAGGUCAAACACUGAGGAAGCGAAGGCAAAAGUCCCAGUUUCUAGGGACCUAAUUCUGAGCCUUUUUCAAAGGAUUCUAUGCAUUUCUGAUAGGAAAAGCAGUGUAUUCUGUUAUAAAACCAGUUUCUUCCAGAAUUUGAUUCUUCAGAGAGAGGACAAUGACAAUUACCCCCUUAUUAACCAAGAAGGUUCUGGAGACACAACUGAAUUGUUAUUUGUUGAAGACCUCACAGGACGUGGAGAUGGAGAGUUGUAGGUUCUACCCACUUGAUCUGACUAAAGCCUAUUUCCUGGAGUCCUCAAUAACAAGAGUCCAUCCCCAUGCAGCAGGUACCAUGUAGUUUUCCAGUGACUCUUGGUGGAUGUGCAGUUGUUGAUCAGUAAUACCUUGAACUCUCAAGUGAAUUUGCUGGCACUUUGAACAAGUUGGAAGUGCAUCCUCCAAGUAAGAGUUCCUAGUCAUCACAACAUAUAGCUAAAUAUGCAGUUUUCAAGAAUGCCCAGGUUAACAAGACAAAGAAUUGUAGUAUCAUAAUACUAAUUCCUUAAAUCAGGAUAGGACAUAUUAGAGAAACAAAGAUUAUACAUUAAACCAUUACAUAAAUAAAGUAUAACAGUUCAGAAAUUAGGGUCCUGAAGUUAGAAGGAAUAUUCCAAAAGGGAAAAAGUAGAGCAGGAGAGGGGUGGGCCUGGGUCUAGAACUUCCUAAGAAUUGUUCAAAGGUAACAUGAAAUCCC
rnacentral:lncRNA from 1 species